UGUUCUCUCACAGUAUCAUUCUGAAUGAUCACUUUCCAGAGAUGCAAGACGUUAGUCUUUCAAAUGAACUGUAUGGUGAUGGACAAGGCCAGUGGUUCUAAGGGCAGGAGACUGGUGCUACCCUUGAGCCUGGGAGAAGCAUUAGAAUCAAGAGCACAGCUACUAGAGCCAGACUGCUUGGAUCUGAAUUUAAUUCUGCUACCAGCUAUGUAUAAUAAUUAAUAGCAAUCUCCUUACUCUCAAAAGUACGUGAUCAACCUACUGAUGGGUCAGAUAAAAUUAAAGUUGAAAUGUACAAGUGGUAGCCGUAGCAAGACAAAUUUUGGCAGAUUGUUGAAGAUGGAAGCCUGGUUGGAAGGGUUUACAAAAAUGGAUGACAACAACUGGAGACAGUUAGAUGAUUAUUUUGAAGACUUUUGCUACAAGAAAGAGAAGAAAUGAGUUCAUAGGUCAUCCCCCCAUAAUGAACAAAGUUGAUAUUUGAGGAUUGGACUGUGCAGCACUCAGAGUUCUUGAACCUUGAGAUGAAUGCAGUACCUGCCUGGGAUUGGUGUCCUCUCUCUUGGGGAGCAGAGUUGGAAAUUGAAGAAUGCAAUGGAAAGCAAGAUGAAUGAGGCAAGAGUGUGUAGCCGUCAAUCCUGGAUCCAGGGAGCCAUUUCUGACUGAGUUAGAGACAUCUCUGCCACGCGGCACAUAGAUUUAUAACUCUGAGCAAAGGUUUCAACAAAUACGAUUUCUUCACUCCAAAGUCCAUCUAUGUCUGCUCCCUGAAAUAAAGAACAGAGCAUUUCUGUCCGCUGGUCUCUAAUCCCAGGAGCCUUGGCAGAAGAGGCAGGAGAGUUCCAAAAGGUCUUCUUAUAGCUCUGGAGAUAAUGACCAGCUCAAACAAGCUGGCGCUGCACAGGGGAUACCCAUGGACCUUAUUGAUCUCUCUCUCUCCCAUCCCCCCCGCCCCCCUCAGGCUGACAUAGUGUCUGUACUGACACAGGCAGUCCAGAAAAAAGAAACUGUGUCUUUUAUAACUUUUACUUAAGUGGGAUAAAUGGAAAGAUCAUAACUGAAAGAUCUGUUGAAAACAUACUUCCUAUCCAGACAAUCCAUUAUAAUGUUGCAAUUAAAAAGUUCUACUCGGAGCAAGAGAAAAAAAAGAAAAAAGAAAAGGACAAGAUCUGGGAUUAGGUUUAAUGAUCUGGAACAUGCAAGGAACAUAAUAAAAUUUCUGAGUCCAUGUCGGGGAUGUGGGUACGCGGUCUAAGACAUACAUUGGACUCUUCAAUGGCUCUGUUACGCUGCCCCCACAAUGCCCCCUCCCAUGAAGACAGGCAACAGGGAAGCUGCUUGAAUUCUUUCAGGGCCUAUGGCUGUCACUAAGCAAUUUGUUUCUUUAACAUCUCACAUACAGAUGGCUGAAAUAACAUGCAAACCUCACUUGGGUGCCAGAUGGGGGAAGUGCGGUUCAGAUGUCCCAUGAGACAAUGUUUUUUGGAAAACAUUAGACUUGAAGCCUAUGUAAUGACACCAAAUCCACUCCAGUGCACAAUUUUGUAUAAGGCUUCCAUUUUGGAGCCCAGCCCCAAUACUAGUGGAAUUCAGCGUUACAUUACAAUUUGACUUACUACAAGGUCUUGCGGCAGAGUCCAGGUAUGGUAAUCUUUGAAUUACC